AAAUAUCAUGACAAAUAAAAACCCAUUUUCUCUAAAGAAGCCUCAAAGAAGGAAAACAAAUUCUUCCCCAACUUGGAACCCUAGAAAUCGCCCCCAAAAUCCCAACUGAAGUCUUGAAUUUCAUUUCGGAUUGUUUGUGUUUAACGGUUUUUGACAUUCUAUUCCUCCCACAGAUUGCCCGCAACAUUACAACAGAGGAGCUGGAGGCGAUUCAAAAACCCAUACGAUCAUGGCUGCAAGAAAACUUGUUUAGAAUUCUUGAUAAAUGGAUACAAUGUAGACGUGGAGUAUUAUGAAGAAUCAACGCUUUUCUUGUUAUGGCUAAGAUGCUGGUGUCAACGGAUGUCUUCUACAGGAAAGAAAGACCACCUCUUACAUUUUCUUUACUGGUUCAGUUUUUCCUUUUAGCAUUGGUUGGGUAAGAAUGUGGGAUUCUUAAAUUCUUUGAAUUUUCAUUUCUCUAAUAUCUUCAUUUUCUCAUAUUUUGUUGUGUUUUUGGCUCUACCAGAAAAUAGGUUUUCAUUUGUUAUGGGAUUUUAUCGAUUGUGGCCCAGUUGGACUGAUUUAAUGUUUGUUACCUGCCACGUCAAAUUUCCGUCCAACAAGGGGCACAUUCCGUUCAUUGAAGUUGACAGAAAUUAAAUGGGUGAUGGAUGUGUAAGUAUUUGGAGAGAUGAGUGAGUAACGGGUUAUAUUUUAUAGGUCGUUAAGCAAGUAGUAAUGUAGAUUGAAGUUGAGUGAGCAUUGAUUAAAUUUACUCUUCCCUUUCCACUCCUUUUCCUCUCCUCUCGUCUCUGCCGAUUGCCAACGACGGAACGACCGGACCAAAAUCCAAAUCAAUUUCUCUUAGAAUUUCUGCAAAUGCAAAAGAAGAAAACGCGAGGAACGAUUAUCCACGACCCAAAUCGCAAAGCCAAACCCUAACCUCGCAAUCAAUUUCGAACCUCCAUCGACAGCUUCCCAAAAUCUGAUUUUCGAGUUGCCAGUCUCACCGCACGGCGCACGUAGGUUAAAGAAAUCUGAUUUACUGUGUUUCUCCUUGUUAUUCAUUCGGCUCCUGUGCUCCGUCUUGGUGAUUGCAAGUUGCUUUUUUUUUUUUUUUUUUUAAUAAUCUUGUUCAAUGAAUAAUGUGCAUCACUGGGAUUUGGUUUAUGUUGUUUAUUAUACAUCUUUCUUAGUCAUGGCAACAAACUGAUUUUAGAUUUCU
rnacentral:lncRNA from 1 species